UACAGAGGUCCCGAGCGUUGUUCGGAUUCACUGGGCGUAAAGGGUGCGUAGGUGGUGAGGUAAGUCGGAUGUGAAAUCCCCGGGCUCAACCCGGGAACUGCGUCCGAUACUGGAAGGCUUGAAUCCGGGAGAGGGAUGUGGAAUUCCAGGUGUAGCGGUGAAAUGCGUAGAUAUCUGGAGGAACACCGGUGGCGAAGGCGACAUCCUGGACCGGUAUUGACGCUGAGGCGCGAAAGCCAGGGGAGCAAAGCGGGG
rnacentral:rRNA from 1 species